rnacentral:rRNA from 1 species
GUAGGGAAUAUUGGGCAAUGGAUGCAAGUCUGACCCAGCCAUCCCGCGUGCCGGAAGAAGGCCCUCAGGGUUGUAAACGGCUUUUGACGGUGAAGAAUCGACAGGAUGCGUCCUGUUUUGACGGUAGCCGUUGAAUAAGCACCGGCUAACUCCGUGCCAGCAGCCGCGGUAAUACGGAGGGUGCGAGCGUUGUCCGGAUUUAUUGGGUUUAAAGGGUGCGUAGGCUGGAAGGUCAGUCAGCGGUGAAAAGCUGUCGCUUAACGAUAGUCUUGCCGCAGAUACUUCCUUUCUUGGAUGAGGAGGAGGCCACUGGAACGGAUGGUGUAGCGGUGAAAUGCAUAGAUAUCAUCCAGAACACCGAUUGCGAAGGCAGGUGGCUGUACUUAAUCGACGCUGAUGCACGAAAGCAUGGGGAGCAAACAGGAUUAGAAACCCCAGUAGUCC